UCUCGAAAAUUUGCAAAGAAAAGAAAAAAUCAAAUCGACUUCACUUGAACCUUCAGUUAGACAAAAGGAGGCUUAGUCGGGGAAGUCUCACGUACGUGCGGUAGCCUUAGUAUACGGCUUAGUGAGUCAAAAGCAAAUCAAGAAAACCAAAAAAUGGCGGCCGACUUGAAGUACGAGAUCUCUCAGAACGCUUAUAUUAAGUUGGUUCUACAUGCUCUGAAGCACAAUACCACGGCGGUCAAUGGCAUCUUACUCGGUCGAGUCAACCCACAAAAUGAAAACGUCGUUGAGAUCAUUGAUUCAGUCCAUCUCUUCCACUCUAAUCUUGCUUUGUUGCCUCCUCUCGAGAUCGCACUCAUCAUGAUUGAGGAGCAUUACGGAUCUCAGGGCUUGGGAAUUGUGGGAUAUUUCCAUGCAAAUGAGAGGUUUGAUGAUGUGGAGCUAGGCAUUGUGGCAAAGAACAUCAGUGAUCAUAUUUGCCGGUACUUUCCUCAGGCAGCCGUUCUUUUGUUAGAUAACAAAAAGCUUGAAGCUGUGCCCAAGGGCAAAUGCCAGAGUCCCGUGAUGCAGCUUUAUAUAAGGGAUGCAUCCAAGAGCUGAAAACUGGCUGCGUCUGACUGAGGAAGCGGAUUGGUAAUCAAGGAGCUGGCUGCAAACGUUAUUUUGCCCGAUUACAUUUCAUCUGGGAAAUGGCAGGGUAUUGUAGAUUUUGAUGACCAUCUUGACAACAUUAGCCCAUAAGUCGGACUGACUUAAUCCAGAACUCUUCAAGUAAGAUCCUUCAUUGUUCAAGUAAUGGCUGAUGCGGACAACUCAUCUCCAAGACUGAAGAGUUGACAAUGAAUUUGAUGAGCGAUGAAUCUGAGUUGAGCUUAAACAGCUUGAGCUCUAAACUCAUCUACUGAAUCGAUUUCAAUAUUUGAAUACUUUUACUCAAAGAGCUUUUUAUUUUUAUUAUUAAUGAACAAUUUCGAUUCAAAA